rnacentral:rRNA from 1 species
UUUUAUUAAAUAAAAUUUUAAUUUAAAUAUUAAAUGUUAAUCAUUAAAAAUAAAAAAUUUGGCGGUAUUUAAUAUUUAGAGGAACUUGUUUAUUAAAUUGAUAAUCCACGAAUGGAGGAACUUAAUUUUAAAAAUUUUUAUGUAUUGUUGUUGAGAAAUUGUAUUAAUAGAUAGUUAUUAAAAAAUUUAAUAAAAUUAUAAUUCAAAUCAAAAUGUAGAAUAGUUAAGAGUUUAAUGAGUUACAAUUAAUUAGAUAAUUGGAUUUUUAGAUCAAUUUUAAUUUUGUAGAAUGAAAAUGGAUUUAAAAGUAAAUUUGUAAAAAUUAUAAGUGAA